rnacentral:rRNA from 1 species
UACGUAGGGUGCAAGCGUUAAUCGGAAUUACUGGGCGUAAAGCGUGCGCAGGCGGUUCUAUAAGACAGAUGUGAAAUCCCCGGGCUCAACCUGGGGAACUGCAUUUGUGACUGUAGAGCUGGAGUACGGCAGGAGGGGGAUGGAAUUCCGCGUGUAGCAGUGAAAUGCGUAGAUAUGCGGAGGAACACCGAUGGCGAAGGCAAUCCCCUGGGCCUGCACUGACGCUCAUGCACGAAAGCGUGGGGAGCAAACAGG